CAGUAGCCGCGGUAAUACGUAGGGUGCUAGCGUUGUUCGGAACUACUGGGCGUAAAGCGCACGUAGGCGGCUUGGUAAGUUAGAGGUGAAAGCCUGGAGCUCAACUCCAGAAUUGCCUUUAAGACUGCCGAGCUAGCAGGUGAGAGAGGUAAGUGGAAUUCCGAGUGUAGAGGUGAAAUUCGUAGAUAUUCGGAAGAACACCAGUGGCGAAGGCGGCUUACUGGCUCAUACUGGACGCUGAGGUGCGAAAGCGUGGGGAGCAAACAGGAUUAGAUACCCCGGUAGUCCCUGUCUCUUAUAC
rnacentral:rRNA from 1 species